rnacentral:rRNA from 1 species
UACGGAGGGUGCGAGCGUUGUCCGGAAUUACUGGGCGUAAAGGGCGCGUAGGCGGCCUGUUAAGUCGGACGUGAAAUCCCCGGGCUCAACCCGGGAACUGCAUCCGAUACUGGCAGGCUUGAAUUCGGGAGAGGGAUGUGGAAUUCCAGGUGUAGCGGUGAAAUGCGUAGAUAUCGUUUGGAACGCCAAUGGUGAAAACAGGUUGCUGGGAGUGUGCUGACGCUGAGACACGAAAGCCAGGGGAGCAAACGGG